GACGGAGGGUGCUAGCGUUGUUCGGAAUCACUGGGCGUAAAGGGCGCGUAGGCGGCCUUGCAAGUCGGUUGGUGAAAGCCCGGGGCUCAACCCCGGAGGUGCGGCCGAGACUGCAGGGCUGGAGGCCGGAAGAGGAGGGUGGAAUACCCAGUGUAGAGGUGAAAUUCGUAGAUAUUGGGUGGAACACCGGUGGCGAAAGCGGCUCUCUGGUCCGGACCUGACGCUGAGGCGCGAAAGCUAGGGGAGCAAACAGG
rnacentral:rRNA from 1 species